UUCUACUUAAGUUCCUAUGGUACCGGUGUUUAUGCUGAUAUUUCUAUCCGGAGUUUUAGGAAUGACCAAAUUUACUGGUGAAUCCAAAAUGUGGUGGACGGAAGAACAUGAAGGUUAUAAUCUCCGAUUGACAAGUACAUUUUCGGAAUGGAUUUUAGCAUUAAUUAUAUUUACUUAUAUAUCUACAUUUUCAAACGAAAUCAAAUGCAUUGAAUUUGAAGGUGUUCAGUUAAAAAUUGAUGGCAAAGAUGUAAAUGAGUAUCAGUUGCAGGACUAAGGUAAAUGAUGGCGAAUAAAGAAAUAAUGACAAAUA